CCGAGACCCGACCUACCCAUCCUAGACUAAUUUGGAUGCCCUGAUUCCAUAUUAGACAUCCGAUUGACAAAAUUUCGUUAUUUGGUUAUAUUUUGUUAAGGGCCGCCACUUAGUUAUUAUAGGAUUCGACGAUCAGACCAUUGGAUCACCACCAAACUUUAAUACGUUAUAGUACGUAAUAUUUGAGGACUGUAAAAACUUAUGGAUCUGGAAUCUGAUGUACGAAUCUUCCCGAAUUGGAUUUGUAAGUUAGUAAAAUAAAACGUUGACCACC
rnacentral:lncRNA from 1 species